GAUUAAGUUAUUAAGGGCGCACGGUGGAUGCCUUGGCACUAGAAGCCGAUGAAGGACGUUACUAACGACGAUAUGCUUUGGGUAGCUGUAAGUAAGCGUUGAUCCAGAGAUUUCCGAAUGGGGGAACCCAGCAUGAGUUAUGUCAUGUUAUCGACAUGUGAAUUCAUAGCAUGUCAGAAGGCAGACCCGGAGAACUGAAACAUCUUAGUACCCGGAGGAAGAGAAAGAAAAAUCGAUUCCCUGAGUAGCGGCGAGCGAAACGGGAAGAGCCCAAACCAACAAGCUUGCUUGUUGGGGUUGUAGGACACUCUAUACGGAGUUACAAAAGAACAUGUUAGACGAAUCAUCUGGAAAGAUGAAUCAAAGAAGGUAAUAAUCCUGUAGUCGAAAACAUAUUCUCUCUUGAGUGGAUUCUGAGUACGACGGAGCACGUGAAAUUCCGUCGGAAUCUGGGAGGACCAUCUCCUAAGGCUAAAUACUCUCUAGUGACCGAUAGUGAACCAGUACCGUGAGGGAAAGGUGAAAAGUACCCCGGAAGGGGAGUGAAAGAGAACUUGAAACCGUGUGCUUACAAGUAGUCAGAGCCCGUUAAUGGGUGAUGGCGUGCCUUUUGUAGAAUGAACCGGCGAGUUACGAUCUGAUGCAAGGUUAAGCAGCAAAUGUGGAGCCGCAGCGAAAGCGAGUCUGAAUAGGGCGUUGAGUAUUUGGUCGUAGACCCGAAACCAGGUGAUCUACCCUUGGUCAGGUUGAAGUUCAGGUAACACUGAAUGGAGGACCGAACCGACUUACGUUGAAAAGUGAGCGGAUGAACUGAGGGUAGCGGAGAAAUUCCAAUCGAACUUGGAGAUAGCUGGUUCUCUCCGAAAUAGCUUUAGGGCUAGCCUCAAGUGAUGAUUAUUGGAGGUAGAGCACUGUUUGGACGAGGGGCCCCUCUCGGGUUACCGAAUUCAGAUAAACUCCGAAUGCCAAUUAAUUUAACUUGGGAGUCAGAACAUGGGUGAUAAGGUCCGUGUUCGAAAGGGAAACAGCCCAGACCACCAGCUAAGGUCCCAAAAUAUAUGUUAAGUGGAAAAGGAUGUGGCGUUGCCCAGACAACUAGGAUGUUGGCUUAGAAGCAGCCAUCAUUUAAAGAGUGCGUAAUAGCUCACUAGUCGAGUGACACUGCGCCGAAAAUGUACCGGGGCUAAACAUAUUACCGAAGCUGUGGAUUGUCCUUUGGACAAUGGUAGGAGAGCGUUCUAAGGGCGUCGAAGCAUGAUCGCAAGGACAUGUGGAGCGCUUAGAAGUGAGAAUGCCGGUGUGAGUAGCGAAAGACGGGUGAGAAUCCCGUCCACCGAUUGACUAAGGUUUCCAGAGGAAGGCUCGUCCGCUCUGGGUUAGUCGGGUCCUAAGCUGAGGCCGACAGGCGUAGGCGAUGGAUAACAGGUUGAUAUUCCUGUACCACCUAGUAUCGUUUUAAUCGAUGGGGGGACGCAGUAGGAUAGGCGAAGCGUGCUGUUGGAGUGCACGUCCAAGCAGUAAGGCUGAGUGUUAGGCAAAUCCGGCACUCAUAAGGCUGAGCUGUGAUGGGGAGAGGAAAUUGUUUCCUCGAGUCGUUGAUUUCACACUGCCGAGAAAAGCCUCUAGAUAGAUAACAGGUGCCCGUACCGCAAACCGACACAGGUAGUCAAGAUGAGGAUUCUAAGGUGAGCGAGCGAACUCUCGUUAAGGAACUCGGCAAAAUGACCCCGUAACUUCGGGAGAAGGGGUGCUCUUUAGGGUUCACGCCCAGAAGAGCCGCAGUGAAUAGGCCCAAGCGACUGUUUAUCAAAAACACAGGUCUCUGCUAAACCGUAAGGUGAUGUAUAGGGGCUG
rnacentral:rRNA from 1 species